AUAAUUUUCAGAGAAAAUGACAAUGGCAAUUUCUGAGUUUUCAAUUGCUGAAAAGAUUGCUUCAAUGAUUUUUUCUCCUCCUCUAACUUCAAUUUUGUCCACGAAGGUGGUAAUCGACUUUCGAGAUAAAGCAGCAUAAAGAUGACUGGUGAAAUUAACGCGAGUAUCUUUGCCACUAAAACUCAGAAAAACAUCAAAUCGGCGAUGGGUGAUAUGGGAAGCCAUUAGAACACUUGAUGGAUGCUGCAAU
rnacentral:misc_RNA from 1 species